UCUUCUUCUUCUACUUUUGGAGUUUUAUGGCGGUUAGCAAACAAACGAUAGGUGCAUUCCCGCCACCUACUUGGCUGGAUAUUCUUCAUUCCUUUU